CCGUAGCUCAGUUGGUAGAGCAGUUGACUCUUAAUCAAUUGGUCGUAGGUUCGAGUCCUACCGGGCC
rnacentral:tRNA from 1 species